AUGGUUGCUAAGAAACGGAGCUUCCACAAACCAGAUAGAGGUUCUCCAGCUUUUCUUUGAUUGUCUCUGCUUUAGCGUCUCUAAAUCCGGUCACCAUGUCGGACCCCGAAGGCGAGACCUUGCGAAGCACCUUUCCCUCUUAUAUGGCCGAAGGCGAGCGGCUCUACCUGUGCGGGGAAUUUUCUAAAGCCGCGCAGAGCUUCAGCAACGUGAGUCGAGCUCUCAACCUAUCCAUCACCCCAUCACCCGUCACUUUUUUUUUUUUUUUUUUUUUUUUUUUUUGUGACGGAGUUUCGCUCUUGUUGCCUAGGCUGGAGUGCAAUGGCACGAUCUCGGCUCGCCGCAACCUCCGCCUCCCGGGUUCAAGUGAUUCUCCUGCCUCCACCUCCCAAGUAGCUGGGACUACAGGCGCGUGCCACCAUGCCCGGCUAAUUAUUUUGUCUUUUUAGUAGAGAUGGGGGUUUCACUGUGUUGGCCAGGCUGGUCUCGAACUCCUGACCUCGUGAUCCACCCGCUUCGGCCUCCCAAAGUGCUGGGAUUACAGGCGUGAGCCACUGCGCCUGCCCCCUGCCCUCACCUUUUGAUUGCAGAUAACACUGAGGUCUUGAUGAUGCCUGGAGGACCCUGUUGUUUCUAUUAUUCACUGAUUUUUGAUGGACACACUGCUGUCACAGAUAAGCCCUGUGGUUGGCCAUUUUCUACCAGUUCCCACUUGCAAUCUCCAUUCUCUGCGUUAACAGUGACCUUUUCCUCCACUUUUACUUAAAUGUUUCAUGAUUAACCGGCCUCCUUCCACAGAGCAGCCUUACCUUCCCAUCAUUUGCUGGCAGAUUGGAUGGGAGGUUGCAUGCAGAAGCCUCAAUGUCCCCAGCACACCGUUGCUUAUAAAAGGUGGCCAGUAAGCAACAUAUGAUUAUUAUUAUCAAUUUUGAGACAAAGUUUUGCUAUGUUGCCCAGGCUGGAGUGCAGUGGCAAGAUCUCAGCUCACUGCAACUUCCGCCUCCCCAGGUUCAAGCGAUUUUCCUGCCUCAGCCUAGGGAGUAGUUGGGAUUACAGGCAUGUCCCACCACGCCUGGCUAAUUUUUGUAUUCUUAGUAGAGACAGGGUUUCACCAUGUUGGCCAGGCUGGUGUCGAACUCCUGACCUCAAGUGAUACACCUGCCUCGGCCCCCCAAAGUGCUGGGAUUACUGAGGUGAGCUGCUGCACCAACCAGCAACAUUAUUAUAGUAACCCUAGUAUAAAUUGCAUCAUCCCACCCUAAGGGGAUUGGGUGAUGGUUUUUGUUGUUGUUGUUGUUGUUGUUGUUGUUGUUUUGGAGACGUAGUCUUGCUCUGUCUCCAGGCUGGAGUGCAAUGGUGCGAUCUUGGCUCACUGCAACCUCCACCUCCUGGAUUCAAGUGAUUCUCCUGCCUCAGCCUCAGGCACACUGCUAAGCAGACUGGAUUUUUGUUGUUGUUAAGAUGGAGUUUUGCUCUUCUUGCCCAGGCUGGAGUGCAGUGGCGCAAUCUCGGCUCACCCCAACCUCCACCUCCCAGGUUCAAGCGAUUCUCCUGCCUCAGCCUCCCGAGUAGCUGGGAUCCCAGGCAUGCACCACCAUGCUCGGCUAAUUUUGUAUUUUUAGUAGAGACGGGGUUUCUCCAUGUUGGUCAGGUUGAUCUCGAACUCCCCACCUCAGGUGAUCCCCCCCCACCUCAGCCUCCCAAAGUGCUGGGAUUACAGGCGUGAACCACCCCACCCAGUGCAUACUCAAUUUUAUAGAUUAGGAAAUAUACAGAAGUUGAGCAACAUGCCCAAGGUCGCUAAACUAGCAAGUGGCAGAGGAAGGAUUCAAAGCCGGGCUCAGACUCCAAUGCUGAGGUGCUAACCACAAAACUACACAUCUGACAUCUGCAUAAGGAAACUGUUGUUUUUUUUUUGUUUGUUUGUUUUUUCAGAGACAGGAUCUCGUUCUGUCUCCCAAGCUGGAAUGUGGUGGCACAAUCACAGCUCAAUACAGCUUCAAACUCCUGAGCUCAAGUGAUCCUCCCACCUUAGUGUUCCAAGUAGCUGGAGCUACAGGCUUAUGCCACCACGCCUGGCUAAUUUUUUCUUUUCUUCUUUUUUUUUUUUUUUUUUGUAGAGAUAGGUGUUUUGCUAUGUUGCCCUGGCUGGUAUUGAACACUUGAGCUCAAGUAAUACUCCCGCUUUGGCCUCACAAAGUGCUAGGAUUACAGGUAUGAGAUACAGUGCCCUAAAAACAUGUUUUUAUGACCAUUUCUUUUGCUCCAAAUUGCCCACUUCUUCUGCUCCAAAUUGCCCACUUCUUCUUCUAGAUGGAGUGAUAGGAUAACCCUGUAGUUUUGAGACUUCCUGUAAGAUCAAGCUUCUCAACAGCUCCCCAGAGUCGUUUGUCCCUUUCAGUCACCAACCACACCCUAAAACCAGAAAUGAUGACCAGAUAAGUGAACAAUUGAGUUCGGUAGCCCUGUCCCCACUUAUUCUCCUCCUGCUGGAUCAUGUCCCAUCCUGAAGUACCCACCAGCAGAGAAAAAAGAACACCCUGAGGGAAGGGUAGCCUUGGAUGAGAAGCAGUCACUUUCCAGAAAGACAGUAGCUACUUCCUCUUCUUAGAAAAGUAGGAAGGUCUUAGAAAGGGGUGGGUACCAGGAGACAGAGGGUUGCAGUGAGCCAAGAUCAUGCCAUUGCACUCUAGCCUGGGCAACAAGAGUGAAACUCUGUCUCAAAAAAAAAAAAAAAAAAGACCAGGUCAGGUGGCUCAUGCCUGUAAUCCCAGCACUUUGGGAGGCCAAGGCAGGUGGAUCACCUGAGGUCAGGUGUUUGAGACCAGCCUGGCUAACAUGGUGAAACCCUGUUUCUACUAAAAAUACAAAAAAUCAACCGGACGUGGUGGCGAGUGCCUGUAAUCCCAGCUACUCCGGAGGCUGAGGCAGGAGAAUUGCUUGAACCCGGGAGGCGGAGGUUGCAGUGAGCCGAGAUCGUGCCAUUGCACUCCAGCUUUGGCAACAAGAGCAAAACGCCAUCUCAAAAAAAAAAAAUUAGCCAGGUGUGGUGGCGGGCACCCGUAGUCCCAGGUACUCGGGAGGCUGAAGCAGGAGAAUUGCUUCAACCCGGGACUCGGAGAUUGCAGUGAGCAGAGAUCGUGCCACUGCACUCCAGCCUGGGUGACAGUGUGAGACUCUGUCUCAAAAAAGAAAAAGGGGGGUGGGUACAGUUAGAUGCCUCAGGAAGGACAGUACACCACAGACUAUGGUAAUCAUCUCACACAGAAAAGAGGACACUGGGAGUGGGGAUAUUGCCCUCAACCCCACUUUAGGGUCAAAAUCAGUUUCAUUUUCCUAGCAUU
rnacentral:lncRNA from 1 species